UAAGGAAUAUUGGUCAAUGGACGCAAGUCUGAACCAGCCAUGCCGCGUGGAGGAUGAAGGUCCUCUGGAUUGUAAACUUCUUUUAUCUGGGACGAAACACUUCUUUUCUAAGAGGCCUGACGGUACCAGAUGAAUAAGCACCGGCUAACUCCGUGCCAGCAGCCGCGGUAAUACGGAGGGUGCAAGCGUUAUCCGGAUUCACUGGGUUUAAAGGGUGCGUAGGUGGGCAGAUAAGUCAGUGGUGAAAUCUUCCGGCUUAACCGGGAAACUGCCGUUGAUACUAUUUGUCUUGAAUAUUGCGGAGGUAAGCGGAAUAUGUCAUGUAGCGGUGAAAUGCUUAGAUAUGACAUAGAACACCAAUUGCGAAGGCAGCUUACUACACAAUCAUUGACACUGAGGCACGAAAGCGUGGGUAGCGAACA
rnacentral:rRNA from 1 species